GUGGGGAAUAUUGGGCAAUGGGCGCAAGCCUGACCCAGCAACGCCGCGUGAAGGAAGAAGGCUUUCGGGUUGUAAACUUCUUUUACCAGGGACGAAACAAAUGACGGUACCUGGUGAAUAAGUCACGGCUAACUACGUGCCAGCAGCCGCGGUAAUACGUAGGUGGCGAGCGUUAUCCGGAUUUAUUGGGUGUAAAGGGCGUGUAGGCGGGACAGCAAGUCAGAUGUGAAAACCAGAGGCUCAACCUCUGGCCUGCAUUUGAAACUGUUGUUCUUGAGUGUCGGAGAGGUAAUCGGAAUUCCGUGUGUAGCGGUGAAAUGCGUAGAUAUACGGAGGAACACCAGUGGCGAAGGCGGAUUACUGGACGAUAACUGACGCUGAGGCGCGAAAGCGUGGGGAGCAAACAGGAUUAGAAACCCUUGUAGUCC
rnacentral:rRNA from 1 species